UUCAUGAUGGUGUAGAAGUAUGUGAUCUCCGUAAGUCUUGCACUGCCUAAGUAGUGUUGACUAUGAGCAGCUGAUGUUUCUGUAGUGGAUGUGUGGUACUGCAAAUGUGAAGUAAACCCCCCUCUGUGUGUGCAGGUGGGUUAGACAAGAAUGAAGUUAAUUUCUGAGUUCUGCUGUUGUUGCAGUGAUCUGUAGUUGAUCUGUUUAGGAUCCAUGAAUAACUUGUCCUGCUUAUGCUCUCUAGCUUCAAUUUUUCCUGGGUUCUGUAAACAGUAUUUUUUUUUUUAAAGGCAGCUCCACAGCUAUAAUGCCAUAUCACUACAUCUUUUAAGUCAUAUUGUUGCAGUACAACUCUGUCUUAUCUGUCAUAAUUACAUUUUAGCUGAAUCCCAUAAAAAUGGGUUUUCAGUCACCAGCAUACUGCAAAACUGAAAACAUAUCCCUUCAAUCCUAAACGGUACUUUGAUCUGAAUGUUGCCCAAAUCCCUGGAAACAGGUAACUGAAAAAUGUAGCCUUUAAUUUAACAAGACUUGUUUAAUUAUAGUUAUGGAGCUGAUUAACCUUGUCCUUAGCAAAAGGCACUAAGUUGCUAGACAGAAUGAAGCUUACUGCUUUAGAGUGACAACUUUCUCCUUAAUGAAACCAUCAUUUCUGGCAGAUCACUUCAAAUCCAUUUCAGUUCCCCAGGACUUUCAAACAAUGCAUUUACCUCAUGGUGAAACUUUGCUAAGAGAAUGUUUGUUUUUCUUUCAUUCAUGACAUGCUGAUGAGAAUGAGCAUCCAGAUCGCAUCAUAAUGUGCAGUCCCAAUGGAAAAAACAUCUUUUCAGCAGUAUUAGAUUUUUUUUUUGCACCACUGAGAUGAAUGUAGUCAUCCUUUUCUGUAAAAAUAAAAACCUGAACUAACAGGUAUCUUGUAUGAUGGUUAAGAUGUGCAGAGAUCUGUGAAUCUCUAUGUUAUGACAAUAAGCACUUCUUUCCACUUUUAUUAUUUUUUUAUCUAGUUUUGUGGGUGAUGAGUUUACUUUUUAGCUUCAUUAUAAUAUAGGCCAGUAAAUAAGAGGAGUUUUUAUGAGUUUGAGAGGCAAGAAUACUGCCCUUUGACUUCCAGUCUCUGAUGGAAGGACUUCAAACAAACAUGGAGUCUGGGACAGUAUAGCUCUUUAUGACCAGUUGCUCGUGCUGACCAGUUGCCUGGUAAUGCCAUCUUCAUGUUAACUAUGGAUUGAAAUGUGCAUUUUGUUCACUCCUCCCGUGUUCAGUAUUUUCUUCUGCAGCGGAUGGUGGUGGCUUUGUUCAGGAAUGACAGUUGGGCAGCGCUGAGAAAGGAAAAUGCCAGCAGUGAGAACUGAACUGUUGGUUCUAAAAGCAACCAGUGCAGCUUGGGUCUGAGCUGCCAGGAGGCAACAGUCAUCUGUGUUGGAAGAAUUCUUCCCCACCCCAUUGCAAAGCCCUGCUGGAGGAUGAGCAAAGAUGCUGACCUUGAAGCAGCAGAAAUGAAAGUAUUCUCACUUCCACUGUACAAUAUAAUCAUUGUUUCUGGGGGUGCAGUGUUGAAGGCUGCAGUGAUGUGUCCAGUGGAAAGAUGACAGUACUUCUUGCUUCCUCUGGCCCAGAAUCCCUUUGGUCCAACAUAGUGCAUCAGGUACAGUUGACCAUUUCUGGGACACAUCUUGCCUCCUGUGUUGAAAUCUACUCCCAGGAUGGCUAGCUCUGUGUGGGGCCUUGUGUAAUGAGGAACCAACUAGUCCCUCAGUUCAAUGCUGCUACUCACUGCUGUGGCUUCUACCUUCUGUCUUGGUCCAUCGAUGUGAAAGAGUAUGCCAUGCAGCCUGAAUCUGUUCCAGUCUCAGUUAGAGUUUACAUGUGUUCUUCCUCCUUCCUCUCCUAAAGUUUACAGGGAAAAAACUUGAGUUGCCUGACCAGCUAAGGUGACCCAACAGCAGCUGGUUAUGUUAUCUUUCACCUUUGUCAGUAUGUGGAUUGGUUGAUGUGGGUGGUGUCGUGGCAUCUGCAGUAGGCUAAUGUAGAACUGUGAUAUGUUAGCCCUAUCCUGUCACCAGUAACCCUUACUCCAGUGAUGUGUGGCUGCUCUGUACUGCUUGUCUUCCAGAGUCCGAAGCAGCUGGUUCUAAAGCAACAGAAUCAUCUGACUGUAGCUAAUGUUCCCCUGUAUAUGACAGAAUGAGGCCUUCAGCUAAAAGUGAGAGAACCUUCCACUAGCCAGCUGUUUUACAGCCUGUGAACACAGAGCACAGACAUGUGAAUUGUGACCAUCCUGGCCUGAAGUUAUAGCAGUUGGAGAGAUUCACAGGAGUCCUCUUGAUCUGGCAUUAACAGCUAACUUUGGGUCAGGAUGUGACUGAUAACACUAGUCCUGACCAGACUGGAGUAAAUAGCAAGCUAUUAGUCAUGGGUAACACGGUAGCUGCAGUAUUGACUGGAAUUAGAACAUCUCUGGGUGCCAUGUGACAUAAAGCUGUAAGCAUUUCUAAUUCAAAUCCCAGCAGUUGGAACAGAUCUCCUCAAAUGUUCCAUUUUCAUAAUUACUGUUGUCCUGGCAUUUCACGUUCUACAAAGCUGACUUUCUCAAAAUGAGAGCAAAACUUCAUGCAGAAGAAGUCUCUGAGAGAGUUCCUUGUGGGGCUGUGUUAGGUCUGUGUCCCUGCAGCAUGCCUAAGGAUGCCCUAGGGGAACAGCCUAGAUAUUACAUGAGCCCUUUGAUUAGAGUUUAUUUCUUUAUAACACAGGUUUAGCAUGUAUGUGUGUAAGCAAAUCCCAACUGCAAACAUGAAGACUGCAUUUCUUCAGAGCUACACUGGCUCUUUUUCUUCCGUUGUUUUGAUCUGAGGCCUUGUGACAAAUGUCUAAAUUUUGCCCCAGUCAGAAGUGAUGACCUUGCUUUAAGUCAUCAUGUAGACAACAGAAUGCCUUGUAGUGGCUUAGCGAUGCAUUCUGUCCCCCAAAAGCACAUGAGGGACUCUUGCUGGUUAAGUUCCUCUGCUGGGCUCAGGGGACUUACCUGUGGAGCGGACUCUCCCCUGUGAGAAUGACCAAGACCAAAUGAAUCGCUCACUAGCAGGUGGCCAGACUAAUCAUUCUUCAAAGCACUUAAUGUACCAUAAUGUAUGUAUUUCUAAUGUACCUUGGUUCAGCUGUAUUUUAUAAAGUUGAUGUACUAAACUAUUUGAGAAUAACUGCCUUGACUACUUGGAAAAUCAAAAUGUAAUGUAUAUAGAUACAAAUAAAGUGACUAAAAUAUACUUGAGUCCAUUCCAUGAGGUGGAGCAGUUAGGUCUCAUAGCAUCCCAUUUUCUUGAUCAGAGGCGAAGCUGGGCAGCAAUUGCUCUGUUGGAGGCUGCCAGCCUUGCGUGUAGUGUAAGCAUGCCUGUCAUGUCUUUGUACCUUGCAGCUCGUCUCUUCUAAUGGAACAGGACCUCUGGGCAGCUCUCCAGGUCAGUGGCAGUAGAAUGUGCAAAUAACCUUUCAUGCACUUCUUGCACCUUCUUCCCAAGCUGCUUUUCAACACAUAGUGCUGUAUGAGACAGAGAUGCAGUUUUGUUCAGCAGAUGAUGGUGUUGCUGUGGCCUAAUUCUUCCAAGAGGUAUAACACAUUCCUCAGGAAAAAUCUCCAGGUAUUUCCAUAGUCUUCUCUUAAGUGGACUAGAUAAAGAAAAAAAUCCAAGGAGGUCUGAAAAUUAAUGGCUUAUCUUGAUUGCUUCAUAUUAACCUAUAAUAUAGUAAUCUCUUAAGACUAAAAAUGGGAAGGGGACUUGUUCGUUCCUAGAAUGUAAAACUCAAAAUGUAGAACUUCAGGAUUUUACCUGUAUUGUGCAUCAUCACCGCUUUUGCCAGGUGAGUCUGAGUUCUUUUAUCUGCUGCAGUAUGAAACUGCAUCAGAAUCUGUCCCACCAUGGGGGUGUGAGCAAGGCAAAAGGUGGGAGGCUCGGUUCCAGGCCUUACACUGCUGUAAGGUUGAGUGGAGGGACUUGAGGGGCUUCUGGCACAAAGCUGAAAAGCACAAAUGCAGGGUUAUCAGAACAGCAUUCUUCUAAUACUUACAAGUGGGACUGCCAACACCUAGUAAAGCACAAGUGUUUGUGCUCUAAGUGAAACUUCUUUUGGUCAGUACCAAAAUCACCAGUAUUAGAAAAUGAAACGGUAAUUGCAUGUCUUUUCCACUGAUGUAACUGAUGGUAUAAGAGACGUUGGUCAACUUCCCCACUACCACCUUGAUUUAGUCAAUACUACUUUCUGAAGAGAAAAGAGAAAAAAAAAAAAGGAAAAGUUGGGAUUCACCAUCUCAGUCUAUGCUGCAAUGUCUCAAAUUGAGUCCUGUGGCGUCCUAGUAUAAACAUACAGAAGCAACAAGGAGCACUUCAGAUUUAGUGUGGAGGUUUUAAGUCAGUGCAGGUACAGAGUAACUUUGCACAUUAACUGGGAGAAGCCAGGCCAUCCCUCAUGUCUCUGUUUCCAGGGCAGAGAACUGGAAGUCUGGCACACUAGAGAUUUGAGAUCUAGCUGUGCUAGCCACUGAUACUGGCCUAGAAUUGCCACUAAGGUACUAAAAUAAUAACAAAACAGGAAUCUAUGGUCUCCAAGCUCCUGCUGUGCAGCCAUAGUUUGUUGUGAGAUCUCUGUAAGGAACAAAAAGAACCAAAAAAAAAACCCCACUUCAUUUUUUGGUGAUAGGAGGUUUGUCUGUAUCUUUAAAUCUGUGCCUGGAGGCAGAUCCUGCUUCUCAAAAGAGGAAGGAUGACAGAAACAGGUAAGAAGAGCGGGCUGGGAGUUUGUUUGUUAAUCUGGCAGAGCAGCAGGGUCAGAAUGAGUCCCAACAUGUGCAUCCUGUUACAAUGCCUUGUUCUCCAGCCCCUUCCUGCCUCUUGGGGCAUGAAAGUCAAGUCAAGAAAUGUGUGAGGGCAGAAAGCAAUGCUUAGUUUGGAUGAUGAAAACCAAUGCUGAAAUAUCCUGGUUAUGAAUUACUAUCAUCCUACAUACUGAGUCUAAGCUUUGCAGAGCUCCAAGCAAGCUAGUUUCUUACACACUAUAAAGCCAGUGUUGAGUGUUUCAUUCACACAGCUUCUGCCAGUUACAGAGGCUGUGGCUCAGUUUAAUUCCCGCAAUAGCUUGCAAUAAUACAUGAAAGCAGAGUUGUUAGCAGCCAGGCAACUCCUUAUUCCCUCUGCAUUUGUUCCCUAGGUGAGAUCUUUUCCCACUGGUCUGUCAUUUGUGGGUCUGCUUUCAUUGUACCUCCUAUUCUGUGAUUAUAGGUGGCUUCUCUGUUGGGGGCCUUGCUUGUAGAUCUCUGCAGGUAAACUUGUGGUGUCAGAAUUAGCUGACAUAAGAUCUCUGGUCCUAAUCUGAAGGCUCUUUAUAAGCUCAGUCUGAAGGCUACCUAAGUAGUCCUUAGUCCUUCCAGCCUUAGCAAGCUGUCUGCUGACUCAUUGCAGUUGUUUACAACUAUAUUGAGUAAACAAGUUCUGGAAAGAGGAGAAAUGUGCUAGGUAUGCAGGAGCUGUGGUGGGAGAAGUCCUGAGUAGAAAGAGUAGAGCUUUGGUAGUGAAAGGUCCAUUGCAGUCAGUACUCUCAGGAUGACAGAACUGGCUGUAUGUGUAAAUAUGCAAGAUGAGUUGUAAAAUCUCAUUGCCGUUCUGAAGGAGAGAUGUCUAGGCUUAGUAAUUAUAGCCUCACCUUUGAAAUGCUAAAGAUGACUUGAGUGGGGAAAACAGCAAGCAUGUAAAAAAUCAAGUGUGUCAGUAGAAGAAUGUGAGGGAAGGGUAUAAAAGCUGACUUAUGCCAAUUGUCAUAUUGGAAGGUUAUUCUUACAGAAGAAUGUGUUUUGGCUGCCAGAAACAGAAGAAUCCUGCCUUCAGCUCUGAGGAUUUUGUGGUGCUUCAUCUAUGAAGGUGACAAAGAGAAGAUGGGAGAAAGAGGCACAAAACAACACUGUUGAAGUUAAAAAGAAAAACAAGAACCCCCUAAAACAGAUAGAAUUCAAGAAGAAUGCAGGGAGGAAGACAAUGGCUCUGCCUGACAAGGUCCACACCAUGGAGCAAAGAAGUCAACCAUCCAGAUUUCCUCUCGUUUUCUUCUCUGAACUAAUUCAACGAACG